rnacentral:tRNA from 1 species
UCCCUGGAGGACUAGGGGUUAGGCCAUGGCACUCUCUCUCCACCGCGGCCCGGGUUCGAUUCCCGGCCAGGGAA